UGAAAAUUUAAUUUUAAAUAUUAAAUUAGUAUUAGUUAAGUUCUUGAAAUUUAAAAAAUUUGGCGGUAUUUUAGUCUGUUCAGAGGAACCUGUUUUUUAAUCGAUAGUCCACGAUGUAUCUUACUUAAAUUUGUUUUUAUAGUUUAUAUAUCGUCGUUUAUUGAAUAUUUUAUAAAAAUAAUAAUUUUCUUAAUUUUGAAAUUUAAAUUAUAUCAGAUCAAGAUGUAGCUUAUAUUUAAGGUUAUAAUGGGUUACAAUUAUAAUAUUAUUGGAAAUUUAUUUGUAAUUUAUUUAUUGAAAUUGGAUUUGAUAGUAAAUUUAUAUAGAUUAAUAAUUUGAUAAUAGCUCUAAAAUAUG
rnacentral:rRNA from 1 species